rnacentral:rRNA from 1 species
UACGAGUGCCCCGAGCGUUAUCCGGAAUCAUUGGGCGUAAAGCGGGCGUAGGUGGCCAUGUAAGUUAGGAGUGAAAGCCCUGGGCUCAACCCAGGAAGUGCUCUUAAUACUGCGUGGCUUGAAUGUGGGAGAGGGUAGUAGAAUUCCAGGUGUAGUGGUGAAAUACGUAGAUAUCUGGAGGAAUACCGGUGGCGAAGGCGGCUACCUGGCCCAACAUUGACACUGAGGCCCGAAAGCGUGGGGAUCGAAACAGG